rnacentral:rRNA from 1 species
UACGUAGGUGGCAAGCGUUGUCCGGAUUUACUGGGCGUAAAGAGCGCGCAGGCGGUCGGAUCAGUCGAAUGUGAAAGCCCCCGGCUCAACUGGGGAGGGUCAUUCGAUACUGUCCGACUCGAAGGCAGGAGAGGGAAGCGGAAUUCCCGGUGUAGUGGUGAAAUGCGUAGAUAUCGGGAGGAACACCAGUGGCGAAGGCGGCUUUCUGGCCUGUUCUUGACGCUGAGGCACGAAGGUCAGGGGAGCAAACGGG